UACGUAGGGGGCAAGCGUUGUCCGGAUUUAUUGGGCUUAAAGGGUGCGUAGGCGGCCUAUUAAGUCAGUGCUGAAAUAUCCCGGCUUAACCGGGAGGGUGGCAUUGAUACUGAUGGGCUUGAGUAGAGUUGAGGUUGGCGGAAUUGACGGUGUAGCGGUGAAAUGCUUAGAUAUCGUCAAGAACACCUAUUGCGAAGGCAGCUAACUAAGCUCAAACUGACGCUGAGGCACGAAAGUGUGGGGAUCAAACAGG
rnacentral:rRNA from 1 species